CAUUUCUUGUGUACAUUAAGAACAAAUUUAAAUUGGCUAAUUUACAUUUGUUACAUUUUGUCAGCUGUGUUGGCUGCAGAUGGACACCAAGUUGUCUUGGAAGAAGGACUGGAUCGUGACAUUGUAGAGCUUGUAGUAAAUGGAGAAACCGUUUUUCAAUGUAACAUAAAAGAUUUAGAUUUUGGUAAGGAUACAUUUUAUAUCAAGAAUUCAUAAUUAAUCAUCAUAAUAAUAAUCAUUCAUGUUAAUCAAAAUUAAAGUCUAAAUUCUUUAUCCUAAACCAAAACCUUUCCCUAAUUCUAAACCAAUUACUAAUCCCAAAUCUAAACCUAAAUCGUAUAAUGAACCUAACAUUAAUCCUAACCCAUACACUAAUUCUGUGUCUAACCCUAAUCGUAACAUUAGUCCUAAUCACAAUCCUAACCCUAUAAAAAGUGAUACAAGGUUUCUGUCUGCUUAUGUCAGCAGAAAAUUCCCUUGCUGAUUUUAGCAGAGGGAUUCCCUUGCCAGUCCUGAUCCUAAUCCAGACCCUAAUCUGAAACCUAUUUCCAAUCCUGAAAUUAAUUCUAAACUCAUUUAAAAUGUAAACCCAUUAUUAAACCGAAUCUUAAUCCUUAAUCUUUAACCAUAAUUUAAUCCUAAUCACAAAAGGUUUUCUUUUGCUAAUAUCAGUAUUGAUAUUAACAAAGGGAAUUUUAAGGCAAAGCAGAUUUGUAUGUUGCUGUCAUCUACUGGUUAUUUUCAGUAUGACAGCUUUCUAUCUUUUACAUUAUAAUGCCAAAUUCAUUGGAAUCUGUGCUGGGCAAUUGACAAAGAGAUGAGAAACUAAACAGAAGGGUACCAGGGGGUGUGGAAGGAUGGUAAUUCUCCAUGCAUGUAUAUUCACCAUAACAUAUUCAAUUUUGGUAAGAAACCAGAUCUAGGCUUCACCAUGUGCAAGACUUGAAGUUCCUGACUUUCAUUAUUUUCACAGUAGCUCCACAGACCCUGCAUACCAACUGGGGUGGGUGGGGCUUGGCCGCCAUACUGGGCAGACGCAUGGCUGGUGGGCUCCCUAUGGAAUUGGGCAUGAAGCUCACAAACAGAGCACUUAGCACAUAUUAAUCGCCUGUAGUGGUACUACAGUAUAUGUCAGCUGGCGGGCACCGAUUGGUGCUUUUAUGCGACCAAUGCUGAUGAAGCCUGACCUUCUGUGCCCAUGGGCCUUGUGUAGACCUGCACUGUGUUAACUGUAUGCGAUGUAUUGGAUAUUUAUAUAUUGUUUUAUUGACUGUUUUUUCUUUCAAUUUUUUUUGUAGGAGGUGAUGGACAGCUAGACCCUCUUUGUGAAGAAGCCAGAAAAGCUGUACUCAGAAGUUACUAAUCGGCAUAAACAGAUUCCUUUAUGUCCAACACUCAAACAAUCAUUUUAGAAAUUCAACAUUACAGUGGCUGUUGUGUUUUCAGCUAUAUUUUUAAAGCUAUGGAUUUACAAACUGUUGUAAAAUAUAUGC